rnacentral:rRNA from 1 species
GGGGGCCGUUUCGGAUUAUUAGGCGUAAGAGCUCGUAGGCGGUUUGUCGCGUCUGCCGUGAAAGUCCGGGGCUCAACUCCGGAUCUGCGGUGGGUACGGGCAGACUAGAGUGAUGUAGGGGAGACUGGAAUUCCUGGUGUAGCGGUGAAAUGCGCAGAUAUCAGGAGGAACACCGAUGGCGAAGGCAGGUCUCUGGGCAUUAACUGACGCUGAGGAGCGAAAGCAUGGGGAGCGAACAGGAUUAGAUACCCUGGUAGUCCAUGCCGUAAACGUUGGGCACUAGGUGUGGGGGACAUUCCACGUUUUCCGCGCCGUAGCUAACGCAUUAAGUGCCCCGCCUGGGGAGUACGGCCGCAAGGCUAAAACUCAAAGGAAUUGACGGGGGCCCGCACAAGCGGCGGAGCAUGCGGAUUAAUUCGAUGCAACGCGAAGAACCUUACCAAGGCUUGACAUGAACCGGUAAGACCUGGAAACAGGUCCCCCACUUGUGGCCGGUUUACAGGUGGUGCAUGGUUGUCGUCAGCUCGUGUCGUGAGAUGUUGGGUUAAGUCCCGCAACGAGCGCAACCCUCGUUCCAUGUUGCCAGCGCGUUAUGGCGGGGACUCAUGGGAGACUGCCGGGGUCAACUCGGAGGAAGGUGGGGACGACGUCAAAUCACCAUGCCCCUUAUGUCUUGGGCUUCACGCAUGCUACAAUGGCCGGUACAAGGGGUUGCGAUACUGUGAGGUGGAGCUAAUCCCAAAAAGCCGGUCUCAGUUCGGAUUGGGGUCUGCAACUCGACCCCAUGAAGUCGGAGUCGCUAGUAAUCGCAGAUCAGCAACGCUGCGGUGAAUACGUUCCCGGGCCUUGUACACACCGCCCGUCAAGUCACGAAAGUUGGUAACACCCGAAGCCGGUGGCCUAACCCCUUGUGGGAGGGAGCUGUCGAAGGUGGGACUGGCGAUUGGACUAAGUCGUAACAAGGUAAC